GUCCUAAGAUGGGGCAGGACUUCAGUGAAUUUACAGUGGGUCAAUGUCUUGUCCUCAGAAACAAACAGCAGAAUGGCUCCAUCUCUGUUGAAGACUUCCAUCAACUAGAACCACGAGGGCUGAUGGACAGACCACAAGGCCAGUUUGUUCCAGUUCAAUGAUUAAAAGAACCACAGAUGACCAGGCACGGUGGCUCACGCCUGUAAUCCCAGCACUUUGGGAGCCCGAGAGACGGAGUUUCACCAUGUUAGCCAGGAUGGUCUCGAUCUUCUGACCUCGUGAUCCGCCCGCCUUGGCCUCCCAAAGUGCUGGGAUUACAGACGUGAGCCACUGCGCCCGGCCAAAACCCUGCUUUUAAUAAAGUGUGAAAUGGUAAAAAGAACCUCUCUUUUUUUUUAAGUUUUCUAUUUGUAUAAAUGUAUAGGGCAAAAGUAUCGUUUUGUUACAUGCAUAGAGUGUGUAGUGGUGAAUUCAGGGCUUUUCGGGAGAACCUCUCUUCUUACACAUCAGUGGAGUACUCACUGAUAACACUACGCUUAAUAGUAAUGUCGCCAUUAUUAGUGUUAUGACCCACUGAUAUAGAGACCUAUUUGACAACUAACAGGACUUUCUUAAAAGUCCAAAAAAGGAUCCGCUUUGAUAAUUCUGCUGGGAGAUCCAAGUGGGUGGGUGGAUCUGCUAGCACCACUCCUCAAGUGUUUCAAUGUUCAGUCUGGGGUAGAUCCAAUUAGCAGAGAAGAGUUUUUAUGCAAUGGCUUGGACUAGAGUUUGGAAUUUGGCAGUCAUCACUGGAAAAAUGAAUUUCUGCCUGUUCUGAAUCAAAACAAAACAAGCCAUGUGCAGUACACACCUGUAGUCCCAGCUACUUGGGAAGUGACUUGAGAGGAUCACUUGAGCCCAGGAGUUCCAGUCCAGCCUGAGCAACACAGUGAGACCCUCAUCUCUAAAAAGCAAAUAAAAAUAAAAAACACCAAAACAACCA
rnacentral:antisense_RNA from 1 species